GGUGGCAUAGUCAAGUGGUUAAGGUCAAGGUCUACAAAACCCUAAUCCCCGGUUCAAAUCCGGGUGCCACCU
rnacentral:tRNA from 2 species